AGUGAACGCUGGCGGCAGGCUUUACACAUGCAAGUCGAACGGCAGCACACCUUGGGGUUGCUCUUACGGGUGGAGGGGGGAGUACGGGUUCGGAACAUAUCGGAAUCUAGUGUUUCGCGGGGGAUAACGUGGGGUAAUACACGCUAAUAUCUGAUGCUAACUACGGGUGAACGCAGGGGAUCUUUGGACCUCGCGCGUUUGAAUGAGCCGAUGUCGGAUUAGCUAGUUGGCGGGGUAAAGGCCCACCAAGGCGACGAUCCGUAGCUGGUCUGAGAGGAUGAUCAGCCACACUGGAACUGAGACACGGUCCAGACUCCUACGGGAGGCAGCAGUGGGGAAUAUUGGACAAUGGGCGCAAGCCUGAUCCAGCCAUACCGCGUGGGUGAAGAAGGCCUUCGGGUUGUAAAGCCCUUUUGUUAGGAAAGAAAAGCAGCACGUUAAUACCGCGCUGUACUGACGGUACCCAAAGAAUAAGCACCGGCUAACUUCGUG
rnacentral:rRNA from 1 species